rnacentral:rRNA from 1 species
GAGUUGAUCCUGGCUCAGAUUGAACGCUGGCGGCAGCCUAACACAUGCAAGUCGAGCGGUAGAGAGAAGCUUGCUCUCUGAGAGCGGCGGACGGGUGAGUAAUGCCUAGGAAUCUGCCUGGUAGUGGGGGAUAACGUUCGGAAACGGACGCUAAUACCGCAUACGUCCUACGGGAGAAAGCAGGGGACCUUCGGGCCUUGCGCUAUCAGAUGAGCCUAGGUCGGAUUAGCUAGUUGGUGGGGUAAUGGCUCACCAAGGCGACGAUCCGUAACUGGUCUGAGAGGAUGAUCAGUCACACUGGAACUGAGACACGGUCCAGACUCCUACGGGAGGCAGCAGUGGGGAAUAUUGGACAAUGGGCGAAAGCCUGAUCCAGCCAUGCCGCGUGUGUGAAGAAGGUCUUCGGAUUGUAAAGCACUUUAAGUUGGGAGGAAGGGCAGUUGCCUAAUACGUAACUGUUUUGACGUUACCGACAGAAUAAGCACCGGCUAACUCUGUGCCAGCAGCCGCGGUAAUACAGAGGGUGCAAGCGUUAAUCGGAAUUACUGGGCGUAAAGCGCGCGUAGGUGGUUUGUUAAGUUGGAUGUGAAAUCCCCGGGCUCAACCUGGGAACUGCAUUCAAAACUGACUGACUAGAGUAUGGUAGAGGGUGGUGGAAUUUCCUGUGUAGCGGUGAAAUGCGUAGAUAUAGGAAGGAACACCAGUGGCGAAGGCGACCACCUGGACUGAUACUGACACUGAGGUGCGAAAGCGUGGGGAGCAAAC